rnacentral:rRNA from 1 species
GCCCAGACUCCUACGGGAGGCAGCAGUGGGGAAUAUUGCACAAUGGGGGGAACCCUGAUGCAGCAACGCCGCGUGAGUGAAGAAGUAUUUCGAUAUGUAAAGCUCUAUCAGCGGGGAAGAGGAUGACGGUACCUGAGUAAGAAGCCCCGGCUAACUACGUGCCAGCAGCCGCGGUAAUACGUAGGGGGCAAGCGUUAUCCGGAUUUACUGGGUGUAAAGGGAGCGUAGACGGCAGCGCAAGUCUGAAGUGAAAUGCCGGGGCUUAACCCCGGAACUGCUUUGGAAACUGUGCAGCUAGAGUGCAGGAGAGGGAAGUGGAAUUCCUAGUGUAGCGGUGAAAUGCGUAGAUAUUAGGAGGAACACCAGUGGCGAAGGCGGCGUACUGGACUGUAACUGACGUUGAGGCUCGAAAGCGUGGGGAGCAAACAGGAUUAGAUACCCUGGUAUAA